CACGUAGGGUGCAAGCGUUGUCCGGAAUUAUUGGGCGUAAAGGGCUCGUAGGCGGUCCGUCACGUCGGGAGUGAAAACUCGGGGCUCAACCCCGAGCCUGCUUUCGAUACGGGCGGACUAGAGGUAGGUAGGGGAGAACGGAAUUCCGGGUGUAGUGGUGGAAUGCGUAGAGAUCCGGAGGAACACCAGCGGCGAAGGCGGCGUCCUGGACUGGUACUGACGCUCAGGAGCGAAAGCGUGGGGAGCGAUCCGG
rnacentral:rRNA from 1 species